AGAAAUCCAACACACUAAUUCACAAAAACAAACUUGGCAUAGAUACCAGUCUUUGUAUACAGAGUAUACAAUCUUUCAUUUGGAUUGUUAGAUUUCUAUUCAUAAAAUCAAUAUAAUGUAAUCAAUGCUUAUUUUUUUGUUCAUAUCGGUAUAGUAAUUUCAUUCAAUUGAUUAUCUGUUUGCAUGCUACUAUUUGAGUAGUUCAGUAUAGGUUAAUCUGUAAAUUUUGACAAAAACAAUUCGUAUUCAUUGUUUUUCUUAGUUGGUUUACAUAAAAAUUGUACUAUGUGAUGUCAUAAGAUCAAUCGUAUUAAAUUUCAGUUAUCCCAAUAACAUACAACAGUAAUUUCUGCAGCAAAGCGCGGGCACACAUUCUAGUUCAAGCCGAAAUUCGGUAUACCGAUUUGUCGGUAACCACCGGCGGCGGCUCGGUUUCGGUUGCAGAUUUGAGAAACCGACCAACAUCGGUCGGUACCCGGUUGACGGAAUUUGUCGUCAGUUUUCUACCGAAUCCACGCGUACAGUAUUUUAUAGCUCCUGAAGCAAACCUAUUUCUCUCCGCCUCUCCCUCCCGAGUCUGCGUUUGCGGAUCUGAAUAGGCCCGAACUGUUCGGCAAGCAUUUCGUGGUGUUUGUUAACCUUCAAAAUGUUUCCACGCAACUGGGGAAAGACGAAACACGAGGACAGGCAGAAAGUUCCAAAGGCUGCCGAAUUUAUGUCUUUAUCUGAGGCUUCUAAUAGGAGGGGACAAGGAUCACGAAGUAGGCCUGUAGUUAAUUCACCGAUUGUAGAUGCUUUGAGAACAGCGCAGGUCGUUAAUCCAUUGUUAAUUCCCUAUGAAGGUAUCCCCCAUGAUGUAUGGAUACAAACUACGGGGUCAGCUUCCGUUUGGAUUACGAAGCCUAAUAGAACUGCUAACAGGAUCCGAGAUAUUCACCGGCGCUUUAUUAGGCAAACGAUUCGGUCAUUUCAUGGUUAUUACAAAAUGGGAAGACAAACUGGGCGAGUGGGAAAAAUUCGAAUAUUUGCGAAUUCUGUUGAAGUAGAUUUCAUUCCCGCCACUGAAUCAGAUCCGGAAUUGAAAGUGGCACUUUUAGCAUUCUUGAAGAGCAUAUUGGGAGAUGAUAAUUUAAACGAGGAGUUACAACACUUUUAUAAUAUGAUUCAAGAAUCUACUGAGGUUAAUUUUUGGCUGCUGGAAUAUCAUCCGAUACUAAUGAGUAUCAGGGAGCGAUAUUAUCUUCCUACUGAUUGUUGGUUAGGGCUUUAGGAGAUUGAAGAUUGGGAAGCAAAAUUUUAUAAUCAUGUGACGCUGGUUAUUGGCAGUGCAGAUUGUGCCAUUAAAAAUAAAAUCUACCGGCCCCGUCACGAAGAUUUCGUAACUGUUUACAAUGCUAACAAUAACAGAAAUCCUGACAAAGGUUUUCAUGAAGAUUAUGUGGGACUUUUAAGAUUUGUAAGAGCUCUGGUGUUUCAUGGUGCUGAUCCAGGGAGAGAUUUGCCGUGGGAGGAUGUAGAGCGAGAAUUAAGCAACAGAUUUCCUCAGAUGCUGAUCCAAUUAUUUGGAUUCUUAUUCAAGACAAUGUCUGAAAAUGAUCUCUCUUUCUUAGUUGACCGAAGGUCUUCGGUUUCUGGUGAUGAUUGAGAAAGAGAGAUAAUAGGACUAUGCCCUUCGAGGUUUAGACACUGGGCCAUGAAACUAAAUUUAUGAAGUGGAGGGAUAAAUUUAAACUUAUAUUUGAAACUUUGAACAUAUUUAUUUUAUAUUGUAUUUUAUGAACUUUCUUAUUUUUCUUUGAAAACUAUGUAAAAUUUAAGGUGUGAUGGAUAUUUGAUUCGGAAGUAAAAAGAUGAAAUAUGU